GGAGAGAUGGCAGAGCGGUUGAAUGCGUACGCUUGGAGAGCGUAUGACGGCUGAAAGGCUGUCCUAGGGUUCGAAUCCCUAUCUCUCCGCCA
rnacentral:tRNA from 1 species